rnacentral:rRNA from 1 species
GACGAACCGAGCGAACGUUGUUCGGAAUCACUGGGCUUAAAGGGCGUGUAGGCGGUUUGGUAAGUGAGAUGUGAAAUGCUUCGGCUCACCCGAAGACCUGCAUCUCAAACUGCCGGACUAGAGUAUGGGAGAGGACAAGGGAAUUCCUGGUGUAGCGGUGAAAUGCGUAGAUAUCUGGAGGAACACCGGUGGCGAAGGCGGCAUCCUGGACCAACACUGACGCUGAGGAGCGAAAGCCAGGGGAGCAAACGGG